GAGGCCGGCUGAAGCUGAUCAAGCAAGGAGGUUCUCUGUCAAUGACUUGGAUUCCGUAUGAAGGGCAAAGCUCAAGUGCAAGGCUGUCUGAAAAAGAUAAAAGUCUCUAUACAAUAAGAGCAGUGCCUUUCUCGGAUAUUCGCUCAAUCUGUAGACACACGCCUACUUUGGGUUGGCAGUAUGCUAUUGUAGUAUUGUCGUCAGG
rnacentral:misc_RNA from 1 species